AAUAUUGGUCAAUGGGCGCAAGCCUGAACCAGCCACGUCGCGUGAAGGAAGACGGCCCNACGGGUNGNAAACUUCUUUUGUAAGGNCAUAAAGAGUAGUACGUGUACUAUUUUGCAUGUACCUUACGAAUAAGGAUCGGCUAACUCCGUGCCAGCAGCCGCGGGAAUACGGAGGAUCCGAGCGUUAUCCGGAUUUAUUGGGUUUAAAGGGUGCGAAGGCGGGAGAUUAAGUCAGCGGUGAAAGUUUGCAGCUUAACUGUAAAAGUGCCUUCGAAACUGGUUUCCUUGAGUGUAGAUGAAGUAGGCGGAAUUUGUGGUGUAGCGGUGAAAUGCAUAGAUAUCACGAGGAACUCCGAUUGCGCAGGCAGCUUACUAAACUACUACUGACGCUCAGGCACGAAGGCGUGGGGAUCAAACAGG
rnacentral:rRNA from 1 species